ACACAGAAAGUGAUCUGAUGAACUCUCUCUCUUAGUUCCAGAUCACUUUGUGCCAUCUCACCAGACUCCAAACUCACAGUGUCUUUAUCCAAAUGCUGUUGUACUUCCAAUAAUAAGGAAGUCUUUCUAUAGUUGUAACCUUUUUCCUUGAACUGCCA